rnacentral:rRNA from 1 species
CCGACCUACGGGGGGCAGCAGUGGGGAAUAUUGCACAAUGGGGGAAACCCUGAUGCAGCGACGCCGCGUGAGUGAAGAAGUAUUUCGGUAUGUAAAGCUCUAUCAGCAGGGAAGAAAAAAGACGGUACCUGACUAAGAAGCCCCGGCUAACUACGUGCCAGCAGCCGCGGUAAUACGUAGGGGGCAAGCGUUAUCCGGAUUUACUGGGUGUAAAGGGAGUGUAGACGGUAU